UCUAAGAGCAUGCUUCAUAACAAUGUUAGGAAAAGAUACUCCCUUCAAGCGCGCCGUUCGUAUGUAUUGAGCCGUCAUAACCUCCGCCAUAGAUGCCCUGGUCAUUCUUGCAAUAUAUCCCAUGCCGUAGAGAGCGAUUGUGAGUACAGGCAGAAAAAAAUUUUCAAAAUU
rnacentral:ncRNA from 1 species